UUAAAAUGUCAUUAUGUAGAUAGAUGUUUGUUGUUUGUUGUGUGGCUUUUAGUUGUGGCAACACAGCACAAUUUACUUCGCCAAUGUUGUGUAGCUUGGUG